UGUUGUCUAAUUUCAAUUCAGAAAUGGAUACAUUUUUAUGCACUUCAAUUUUCACUAGCGAGCAGUGUCUGUUCAAAUUUCUGAACAGUGCUCAGCAGUAAAAUACCCACCGCUUUAUCCUCAUAUACGUUUGAUCAAGAAAUUACUUAACCGAUAUGAUAUAUUUUUAUUUUAACUCACUUACGAUAUGUUUUUAAAAACUUCGAUAUUUAGAUAAGGGAAUAGUCAAGUAAUCGAUAUUUAGAUUACGGAAUAGUCAAAUAGUCGAUAUUUUGUUGAUUGUGUCCUAUUCCGAAUGUGAGAUUUUGUCUUGGUGUAGAUCUACGUGUUUAUUCUAUCCACGCACCUGAUCUUUUUAACUUACCUCUACCUUUGUUCGUAAGCUUAAUUGCCCUCACAUUUGAACAUCAGUAAAAUACGGUUUCUAAUAUUCAUCAGAACUAUAAAACCUACUCAUACAUCAUAUUUUACCACAAUCUUUAACACAAACCGUAAUGUGCCCUAUUGUUCGCUAAGUUUCUAUUGUUUCUGUAUUUUGUUGUAUGAUUUAUCGAGCAAUUAAUGAUAGAUUUGUUAGAUUUCGAUUAAAUAUAGAUUUUGCCUAUGGAAAUUACACGCUAUAACUGCUUUGAAUUUGUGUACAUCACGUGCAUAAGAUCAAUGUGACAAAGAUGAAUUACAGCAAAAAAUAAACCUACUAGAAGACUGUUUUUUCAUGUUGGUGUUUUCAUUUUGUGUCGCAUAAAUAAAUAUAUAUAUAGUUUAUAUAUAUAAUCCUGUACAAAUGCGUUGUCCACUUUUAUACAUUAAAUCAAAAUAAC
rnacentral:lncRNA from 1 species